UGCAAAUAGCAGGCAGCUCCAAAAUAGCCUUUGUCUAAAUGUGGAAGGGAUGUAAAUAUAGUAGUAGUAUCACCUUACUGGAGGAGCACUUACACAGACAAACAUGAACUCCUAAUAG
rnacentral:sRNA from 1 species